rnacentral:miRNA from 1 species
AUACCUUGUCGACCGGAAGGGAUUCCUUCCGGUCAAUGAGGAAGAUUUAUAUCAUUCACUGGAAGGAAUCCCUUCCGGACUCAUCAACCGGAAGGGAUUCCUCCGGUCGAUGGGGUUUAGCCUCCUCAUUGACUGGAAGGACUCUCCUCCAGUUGAUGAGGUAAAU